rnacentral:rRNA from 1 species
AACGAACGCUGGCGGCAGGCUUAACACAUGCAAGUCGAACGGUCUCUUCGGAGGCAGUGGCAGACGGGUGAGUAACGCGUGGGAACAUACCUUUCGGUACGGAACAACAGUUGGAAACGACUGCUAAUACCGUAUACGCCCUGAGGGGGAAAGAUUUAUCGCCGAGAGAUUGGCCCGCGUUGGAUUAGCUAGUUGGUGGGGUAAUGGCCUACCAAGGCGACGAUCCAUAGCUGGUCUGAGAGGAUGAUCAGCCACACUGGGACUGAGACACGGCCCAGACUCCUACGGGAGGCAGCAGUGGGGAAUAUUGGACAAUGGGCGCAAGCCUGAUCCAGCCAUGCCGCGUGAAGUGAUGAAGGCCUUAGGGUUGUAAAGCUCUUUCGCCGGUGAAGAUAAUGACGGUAACCGGUAAAGAAGCCCCGGCUAACUUCGUGCCAGCAGCCG